rnacentral:rRNA from 1 species
UACAGAGGGGGCAAGCGUUGUUCGGAAUUACUGGGCGUAAAGGGCGCGUAGGCGGCCUUCUAAGUCGAACGUGAAAUCCCCGGGCUCAACCCGGGAACUGCGUCCGAUACUGGAAGGCUUGAAUCCGGGAGAGGGAUGCGGAAUUCCAGGUGUAGCGGUGAAAUGCGUAGAUAUCUGGAGGAACACCGGUGGCGAAGGCGGCAUCCUGGACCAUUACUGACGCUGAGGCGCGAAAGCUAGGGGAGCAAACGGG